ACACUGUUCAAGAAGAAUCCAAGAGGCUUUUAACUCACUUCAGAUACAAAGGAAGCCAAUGUCUGAGCACUCAUCCCUACCUGCAGCCUGGCUAUCGCGCAGCUCAGCCCAUCACCACCCCAACUCCAACAACAGAAUGGCAGCAUUUCUCCUGACAUCCCAAGGCAACGUGCAGCAGAGGCAUUGCUCACCAAAAAAACAAACAAAAAGGAAAGUAGGAGGUCAUCAGAUUCCUCACCUGCUCCUUGCAGACAGCAUUUAAGAGCAUCAAAAAUUCACUAGCCUUCCAAGCGCUGCUCGUCAAAGUUUAAUAAGAAAAAUACAGAAAGCUUUAUCUCAAACUCGCAUUUACAAACACUUUCCAGCAAUCUGACUGCUACGCAACGCGUUGUUCCGCACUGCAAGACUCCUGGUGCCUGCCUUAAACACCUACGAUCCAAGCAAACAAAGCAGUCCAUGGUGCCCAGUUAUGAAAGAUGUGGUAUUGUCUUGAUAGGAUAAAAGGGAACGGCCUUAAGCUGUGCCAGGGGAGGUUCCAGUUGGAUAUUCGGAACAAUUUCUUCACCAAAAGAGCAGUGAUGCACUGGCAUAGACUGCCAGGGAGGCAGUGGAGUCCCUAUUCCUGGCAGUAUUCAGGGACCGUGGAGAUAUGACAGUGAGGGACAUGGUCACUGGGCAUGGUGGGGUGGGGACUGGAUGAUCUUAGAGGUCUUUUCCAACCUUAAUGGUUCGGUGAUUGCAGCAGACACGUUGCUGAUCCUGACAAUUCUGCACGAGUCCUUCCAAGACAGACAUUUGCCCACCUAUCUAGGUGGCCUUGGCCAACCAAGAAGCCUCUGAUUGCUCUUCAGAAAGACAUCAUCUUAAAAGAUGCCCAACUUGAUGGCAACAGACAUAAGCAAGAGAUCAUCGCUGAGUUAUUAUAGCAGCACACUUUUACUUUGUAAGCAACAUUAUAAUAAAGCUUCAGGUAAGGAACAUAGUAAGAGCCAAGCACAAUUAUCGGCAGAAACAGCUUGCUCCCAUAAAGCGGCGGUGUUUUAUCACUGAGGCACAUGUGUCACCCUUCCACACAUUUCCCCCAUGCAGAUGAGAAGCACUCUGUGAGCCACAGAGUAACAGAAAAGCUCUCUGUCCAUCAGCCCAGAGCAGAGCUGCAAUCAUGCCCAUAACCCCAGCAUCCAGGAGCUCUCCCUGCUGACCUGUGUGGGUGAAGAGGUUGGAGCCCACAACUACAGACUGCAAAAGAUGAGGUCAAUGGAAGUGCUGCUCUGAAACACCCCUUGUGAGCCAACAGUCCAAACAAAAGACUACAGCAGGUAUCCCACCACAUCACUGCACACAAAGCACGAAGCAAGCCCAUAAAUGCAGGCAAAAGUCAAACCCAAACCAAUGAGACUUUCCAAAAUAGAACUCAACCCCAUAAGGUUUUGGAAGUUGAUGAUACUUUUCUUCACUACUUUAUCAUUUUACUCCAAUGUCAAGAGGCAGAAUUAAAGCAGGUACUCCACAAUCUGCUGAAAUACUUCUCUCCCUCAGUGCAGCCUGUGCUUUAUUAAUGGAAGAUACCUACAGACAAGGCUACAGCAAGGAGACAGUCAGUAUCUGCAACACACCCUCACAAACUUGUACCUCAACCUCGGCAAGGCUGGAAGAAAGCACUUACCCACUUGCCAGCUGCAGCUGAAAUUUUGUGCCAAGAAAUAAAUGUCUUUUGGGCAGGUUGGAAACUGGAAGCUUCUAUGCCUGCUGAAGGACAAGGAAAAGGUCUCAUUCAGCAAACUCCUUGAAGGAUCCCAACCUAUUGCACUACAUUUCUCAGGAAGGCACAGUUGUGCACACACUGCAUUCACUACCACUAAAUAGCAGCACGCCAGCUGCCCUUCCUUAACCUCCUUGCAGAACCCAAAGAUGAGACCCUCUGUCAGCAAGCAGAACCACCGCAGGUGCAGCUCAUUGCAGCCUCAUGAGUGUGGCAAAGGUGAAGACUAAGGGCUGCUUUCACCUGCCCCAAAGGCACGAAAGCAGACAAGUUCCAGAGAGGAGAAGGGUCAUGCCCAGGGGCAGCACAGUAUCUGCACCAGGGCACUGCCAAUGGGUCUGACCCCUCCGCUCCCCAGUUUGCCCUUCUCCGAGCCCCCCUGACCUCAGGACGCUGCUGCCCAUUGACCCAUCCUGCAUUUCUCAGGGCUCUGCAAAGCUCUAUACACAACUUCUAAUAAUAAAUCAUGGCUGCAAAAGCAAAGGCACGAACAAAACCCUGCGCUGUUCCAGCAGAAAGAACUCCUUCCCUCCUUGCUCUACAACCAUUGGCCCCUUCCCCACCAUAUCAUUUGCAUUUAGGUGCCAAAACCCAAGCACCAGCUCCUACAGAAAGCAAAGCACAAGGGCAUUACUAACCUGAGCAAAUCAUGUGGUAUACUAAAAGAAACAAAUGUUUCAAGACAGGCAACAGUAUCACAAACUUUGUUUCAACACACACAGCACAUGGGAGGCCUGUGCUACCUGCACAAAUGGAGCUCACGAGUGCUCUACAACCGGUGCCUCCCGUAUGCCCACACGCACUGUUUCAUUAAGCUCGCUUGACAUUAGAUGAAGAAAGAGUACAAGAAAAUUGCAUAUUCCCUGCCUAAAGUAAACUUGUCAUUUAAACCCAGCGUAUAGAUAGAAUCUGAUACAGAGCUGGCGCCGUGAGUCAUUCCUCAGCUUCAGAGUUUGUACGACAGUAUUCUUACAUAUGUUUUGCAAUACUUUCCAGUCAACUACCACCCCGUGUAAUUACAAGUUUUUACUGGAAAGGAAGCAUGCAUUUUGCAUCUGAGCACUGCACUGCACUGAAGCAGUUUGCUCUUGCAGCAGGAUUGUGUGUAACCAUGUACGGAGCCCUCCAGCUGUAUGCAAGGUGAAAGUCAAGGCACUUCUUGAAGUGCUGAUGGGGAGCAUCACACACAUUUCCUAACAAUCUCUUCCUGGCAGCCCAGGUGCCAGGCCUUCGCUAAGGCAGCUUCUUUACUACCUAAGUUAGAGCUGCACUCAUUCAAACCCUGAGCCAGUCAUCUGCUAUCCAUUACAGGUGCUUCACUUGAGAAGAACACAUUACUUCUGUACCGCAGUGAGAUAACCCAUUAAAAAUCCUCCCUGC